AUUAGACGAAUCAUCUGGAAAGAUGAAUCAAAGAAGGUAAUAAUCCUGUAGUCGAAAAUGUUGUCUCUCUUGAGUGGAUCCUGAGUACGACGGAGCACGUGAAAUUCCGUCGGAAUCUGGGAGGACCAUCUCCUAAGGCUAAAUACUCUCUAGUGACCGAUAGUGAACCAGUACCGUGAGGGAAAGGUGAAAAGCACCCCGGAAGGGGAGUGAAAUAGAACCUGAAACCGUGUGCUUACAAGUAGUCAGAGCCCGUUAAUGGGUGAUGGCGUGCCUUUUGUAGAAUGAACCGGCGAGUUACGAUUUGAUGCAAGGUUAAGCAGUAAAUGUGGAGCCGUAGCGAAAGCGAGUCUGAAUAGGGCGUUUAGUAUUUGGUCGUAGACCCGAAACCAGGUGAUCUACCCUUGGUCAGGUUGAAGUUCAGGUAACACUGAAUGGAGGACCGAACCGACUUACGUUGAAAAGUGAGCGGAUGAACUGAGGGUAGCGGAGAAAUUCCAAUCGAACCUGGAGAUAGCUGGUUCUCUCCGAAAUAGCUUUAGGGCUAGCCUCAAGUGAUGAUUAUUGGAGGUAGAGCACUGUUUGGACGAGGGGCCCCUCUCGGGUUACCGAAUUCAGACAAACUCCGAAUGCCAAUUAAUUUAACUUGGGAGUCAGAACAUGGGUGAUAAGGUCCGUGUUCGAAAGGGAAACAGCCCAGACCACCAGCUAAGGUCCCAAAAUAUAUGUUAAGUGGAAAAGGAUGUGGCGUUGCCCAGACAACUAGGAUGUUGGCUUAGAAGCAGCCAUCAUUUAAAGAGUGCGUAAUAGCUCACUAGUCGAGUGACACUGCGCCGAAAAUGUACCGGGGCUAAACAUAUUACCGAAGCUGUGGAUUGUCCUUUGGACAAUGGUAGGAGAGCGUUCUAAGGGCGUUGAAGCAUGAUCGUAAGGACAUGUGGAGCGCUUAGAAGUGAGAAUGCCGG
rnacentral:rRNA from 1 species